CUCUCCAUCUUUCCGUGGAAACUUCAAAUCAAAUCCUCAUCCAUUCCUGAUUAUAGAAAAAUGGCAGAUAAAAAGGUAGCAACGAUGGUGUUGAAGAUUGAUCUUGACCGCGAUCCCUGCUUCAAGAAGAUCAAAACAGCUCUCAGCAAAUUCUGUGGUGAGUAUCUCUCUCUCUCUCUCUCUAACAUCGAUAUACAUGCACACGCGUUAUCUACUCACCAGAGUGGCCAUUCAAUCUCGCAUCUCAGUGCGAAAUCGGAACCAUUGAUCAAGUAACGCCCGCUGCGGAUGUAUCUCAGACAGGCUGAUCCACACUUAAACAGUGAAAAAUAACAGACGGUCCUGUUUCACUCGCCAAUAAGAGUAUGUGUGGCCUGAUUUUUUAGUACGGGAAUUAGCAAGUAGGCCAUCCCCAAUAUGAA